rnacentral:rRNA from 1 species
AUUGAACGCUGGCGGCAUGCUUUACACAUGCAAGUCGAACGGUAACAGGCCGCAAGGUGCUGACGAGUGGCGAACGGGUGAGUAAUGCAUCGGAACGUGCCCAGUCGUGGGGGAUAACGCAGCGAAAGCUGCGCUAAUACCGCAUACCAUCUAUGGAUGAAAGCGGGGGACCGUAAGUCCUCGCGCGAUUGGAGCGGCCGAUGUCGGAUUAGGCAGUUGGUGAGUUAAAGGCUCACCAAGCCGACGAUCUGUAGCUGGUCUGAGAGGACGACCAGCCACACUGGGACGGAGACACGGCCCAGACUCCUACGGGAGGCAGCAGGGGGGAAUUUUGGACAAUGGGGGCAACCCUGAUCCAGCAAUGCCGCGUGCAGGAAGAAGGCCUUCGGGUUGUAAACUGCUUUUGUACGGAACGAAACGGCUCUGGUUAAUACCUGGGGCUAAUGACGGUACCGUAAGAAUAAGCACCGGCUAACUACGUGCCAGCAGCCGCCGUAACAC